rnacentral:rRNA from 1 species
UACGGGGGGGGGCAAGCGUUGUUCGGAAUUACUGGGCGUAAAGGGCUCGUAGGCGGCCAACUAAGUCGGACGUGAAAUCCCUCGGCUUAACCGGGGAACUGCGUCCGAUACUGGAUGGCUUGAGUUUGGGAGAGGGAUGCGGAAUUCCAGGUGUAGCGGUGAAAUGCGUAGAUAUCAGGAGGAACACCUGUGGUGUAGACAGCUUACUGGACCACUUCUGACGCUGAGACACGAAAGCGUGGGUAGCAAACAGG